GUCCUGGCCGUAAACGCUGUGAGCUAGGUGCCGCGUAUCUCACGAAGAUGCGCGGUGUCGAAAUGAAGAUGCUAAGCUCACCGCCUGGGAAGUACGGUCGCAAGACUGAAACUUUAAGGAAUUGGCGGGGGCGCACUACAAGGGGUGCGGCGUGCGGUUUAAUCCAACUCAACGCGGAGAACCUUACUAGGGGCGACGGCAGGAUGAAGAUCGUGCUAAAGACACUAUCAGACGAGCCGAGAGGUAGUGCAUGGCCGCCGU
rnacentral:rRNA from 1 species